UGGGGAAUAUUGCACAAUGGAGGGAACUCUGAUGCAGCGACGCCGCGUGAACGAAGAAGGCUUUCGAGUCGUAAAGUUCUUUUAUAUGGGAAGAUAAUGACGGUACCAUAAGAAAAAGCCCCGGCUAACUACGUGCCAGCAGCCGCGGUAAUACGUAGGGGGCUAGCGUUGUCCGGAAUCACUGGGCGUAAAGGGUUCGCAGGCGGAAAUGCAAGUCAGGUGUAAAAGGCAGUAGCUUAACUACUGUAAGCAUUUGAAACUGCAUAUCUUGAGAAGAGUAGAGGUAAGUGGAAUUUUUAGUGUAGCGGUGAAAUGCGUAGAUAUUAAAAAGAAUACCGGUGGCGAAGGCGACUUACUGGGCUCAUUCUGACGCUGAGGAACGAAAGCGUGGGUUGCAAACAGG
rnacentral:rRNA from 1 species